GAGUUUGAUCGUGGCUCAGGACGAACGCUGGCGGCGUGCCUAACACAUGCAAGUCGAGCGGAAAGGCUCCUUCGGGAGUACUCGAGCGGCGAACGGGUGAGUAACACGUGGGUAAUCUGCCCAGGACACAGGAAUAACCAGUGGAAACGCUGGCUAAUGCCUGAUGAAGUGCCGGCCCUGCGGGGCUUGGUACCAAAGGUAGCUUCGGCCUCCGGUCUUGGAUGAGCCCGCGGCCCAUUAGCUUGUUGGCGGGGUAACGGCCCACCAAGGCGACGAUGGGUAGCUGGUCUGAGAGGACGAUCAGCCACACUGGGACUGAGACAC
rnacentral:rRNA from 1 species